rnacentral:rRNA from 1 species
AAGAAGGCCCUCGGGUUGUAAAGCACUUUCAGCGUCUACAAGAACGCCUAUCUCUUAAUACCCGGUAGGAAAGACAUCACUCGCAGAAGAAGCACCGGCUAACUCCGUGCCAGCAGCCGCGGUAAUA